GCAAGACUAAACCGCCGACGACGUGUGGCAACGAGACGGGAGGGGGUGAGUGGAGGAUCUGCUAUAUAAAUGAAGGAAUCGUCGGGGCAGGCCACAGUCCCCGGUUACGUUCCCGCCUUGUAAGCGUCCAGCACCUCACACACACACAUCACUACCAUGAGUUCCGAGGCCGAAGUCAAGGUUGCUGAGGAGACGAAGCAGGAGGAGAAGGAGGAGGUGAAGGAGGCGGCGAAGGAGGAGACCAAGGAGGAGGCGGCGAAGGAGGAGAAGAAGGAGGAGGACACGAAGGAGAAGGCGGCAGAAGAGACCAAGGAGGAGGCGAAGGAGGAGGCGAAGGAGGAGGUGAAGGAGGAGGCUAAGAAGGAGGAGGAGAAGGACAAGGAGGAGGGGAAGGACGGUGCAGAGUGACAAGCCCGCUGAAGACAAGCCCGCCGAGGAGAGCCCGGCGGCCCCUGAGGAGACGAAGAAGGAGGUGGCGGCGGAGGCACCCAAGGCGGCGGCAGAACCCGAGUCUUAAUACCGUCCCUCCCUCCCUCCCCCGCCACCCUUCCUCCCUACCUUUGGGCGCCACGAGCUGCUUUGGUCCCCGCCCUCACCCCCUGGGAAGGUCCUACGAGUCUACUGCUUCUUCGUCUUAGUGGCAUCAGUUCGUUCUCAAUCACUGCUGUUUGAGUUGGCGAAAUUGUUCCUCUCUUUCGUUUUACUUAUUAUAUUAUCUGCUACUGUGAUUCCCCUUUCCCUCUUUCUCCGGAUCAGUCUCCUUCCCUCUCCCUCUUCUCCUCCUCCUCCUCCUUCCACUCCAUACUCUCGGGCCUGGGAAGUCUAUAUAUAUAUGUGUUAAGGUGAGGGAUUCAUAGACACAACACAAUGCUUUGUAAACCCGUCAUGCAUUCCUGCCACAUAUAAACUCCUUCCAACCAUACCUAUCAACAACGGUGCUCUCUCGGACGUCGUUCACUACAUACAGCAAGGUGAAAAAAAAAGGUUUUAACAGCAAUAAUCUGUCGAGCUUUAAGUAGGUGAGGCAUUAUAGUAUUCUCCGUUUCCUUUAUCCCCUCGUUCGCAUUAGUCUAGGUGCUCAGAUUAACUUGACAAUCAGAUCAAUGGCUGUUAAAUAGUCUUAAGUGUUUGUCCUUCCAGUAAUAUUAUACCCGAUUGCAACAGUAUCACGUUUGCAAGUCUCGUUUAGCCAGUUUUCCUUGCUCUCAUCGCGUGUUCUUGGCUUAUAACAACACAGCACUGCCGGGAGGUCCAGUUCGUGGCCCCCGAGCGUGUGAACAGACUGAGGCUAGGCUGAGUGGUUCCUAUGUUCUGAUUGGUCAACAAGAGCAAAGCGUUUGUAUCCCUGAACCGAGUGUGUCUUGAAGAUUCCAGGUGUGAGAGGCGAGUCUUGAUUAACUCUAGUCGUGUUGAUGCACCAGUAAACACCCCACAAGUGUCUCAUUUGCCUUAUUUUGUCUAUUUGUUUAUACUUUGUAAUUUAAAUUAACAGGGCAUAAUUUUUUCCUUCCCUAGUUUUGAAAGAUAAACUUCACCCUAAAAAAAUAUCAACUUAACUUCAGUAGAAAGACCAUGUAAUUUUCACUUCCCGAUUUUCAAAAGAUUGGCAAUAUAAUAUAAAAAACAGCUACCCCUGAAAUGGCAGACGAGCGAAGUGGGUCUGCAUAUAGCGAAAAGUAAUAAUCUUUGAGCUUUGUUCGGUUGACAGUGUUUCGCUUUUUGGGACCGAUACAGCACCCAUAGAUGGUGUUAACAUCAGACCUGUGGCUACCGCAAUAAUAUGGUUCCAUAGUGGAGCAGGAAUGUGGCUGGGUGUUUAUUAUGUCAUAGUUCACAAUUUACCUGCGGCAAAAAUGUCACGUCAUUCAUCAUGUAUUGCGUCGCCUUAGAGAAACUGUACCAUGGCGUUAGCUCGAGGACGAAAUUUUCCCUGUCCUUUUACUACCUUCCUGUACUCAAAUAUUUCCCUCACACGGUCGAAAACACGGCCAUGCUCAAGCCCUCACUAACCCCGUGACUGAAAAUAUACACUUUGCUUUAUGAGUUCGUGUCACGUUAUUUGUCAAUCUGCUUCCUUUAUAUUACCUGUACCAAAUCAAUGCUGGUGUAAAAUUUAAUAUUAACGUUGUGUGUGUAGGUGAGUGCGGUGCGCAAGCGAUGGAAUCUGAAGAUGUGAAUUGUGUGAGGUGGAUGUUUGUUUCUCUCAUGUUCUGCAAGUUUGAAUACAUAAAUAACACUUCUUGUAUGGGUGUGGUGAGAGAAAGGAAUAAACACUGAAUGGAAAACAAGU